rnacentral:rRNA from 1 species
GAUGAACGCUGGCGGCGUGCCUAAUACAUGCAAGUCGAGCGAACAGACGAGGAGCUUGCUCCUCUGACGUUAGCGGCGGACGGGUGAGUAACACGUGGAUAACCUACCUAUAAGACUGGGAUAACUUCGGGAAACCGGCGCUAAUACCGGAUAAUAUAUUGAACCGCAUUGUUCAAUAGUGAAAGACGGUUUUGCUGUCUCUUAUAGAUGGAUCCGCGCCGCAUUAGCUAGUUGGUAAGGUAACGGCUUACCAAGGCAACGAUGCGUAGCCGACCUGAGAGGGUGAUCGGCCACACUGGAACUGAGACACGGUCCAGACUCCUACGGGAGGCAGCAGUAGGGAAUCUUCCGCAAUGGGCGAAAGCCUGACGGAGCAACGCCGCGUGAGUGAUGAAGGUCUUCGGAUCGUAAAACUCUGUUAUUAGGGAAGAACAAAUGUGUAAGUAACUAUGCACGUCUUGACGGUACCUAAUCAGAAAGCCACGGCUAACUACGUG